GUGGGAUUGUAACUCAGUGGUAGAGCACUUGCCUAGCACGUGUGAGGCACUGGGUUCAAUUCUCAGUACCACA
rnacentral:tRNA from 1 species